rnacentral:rRNA from 1 species
UACGAAGGGGGCUAGCGUUGCUCGGAAUUACUGGGCGUAAAGGGCGCGUAGGCGGGUCGUUAAGUUAGAGGUGAAAGCCCAGGGCUCAACCCUGGAAUUGCCUUUAAUACUGUCGACCUUGAGUAUGGCAGAGGUGUGUGGAACUCCGAGUGUAGAGGUGAAAUUUGUAGAUAUUCGGAAGAACACCAGUGGCGAAGGCGACACACUGGGCCAUUACUGACGCUGAGGCUCGAAAGCGUGGGGAGCAAACAGG